UAAAAUCUGAACCUUUCUUUACCCAAAUAAUCUCUCAAAUCCGCACAAAAACUCAAAAUGGGCAAGCGACAGCACCAGAAAGACAAAAUGUACAUCACGUGUACAGAGUACACACACUUUUAUGGAGGGAAGCGAGCAGAAAUCCCACAGUCAAACUUCAGACGGCUGCCAUUUGACCACUGCAGCUUGUCCCUUCAGCCGUUUGAGUAUCCUGUCUGUACUGAGGAGGGAGUUGUCUUUGACCUGCUGU